UUGACCUCNAAUCAGGUGGGAC
rnacentral:rRNA from 1 species